UAUCUUCAGUCCACCUCUCAAAAGGACUUACACUUUACUUAUCUUUAGUCAACCUUAUUAGUGAAUUGACAAUAAAGCUUAUAAGCAUUUGUACUAUGAUACCCACCAGUAAAAUCACCUUGCUUAUAUCAUCCAACUUCUUUCUAGUAGCAUUUGGAACGUGUUUAUAACAGACAGAACCAAAUACUCUAAAAUGACUCACACUUUACUUAUCUUCAGUCC
rnacentral:lncRNA from 1 species